UAGGCAUAAAAGUUUAUGGGCGGUAACGUCAACGAGGAGAAAAUUGGGAUUUCCCCUCGAGACGUGUCGAUGUUCGCCUCGCUCCUCCAUUUGACUUCACACAUAUUCCCUUAGAGGCAGUUGAGUAUUAAGAAUUCAUCUUGUUGUUAUGCAGUUGGAGGUGUAGAAAUUUGCAGAAGCUUACAAUGCAAAACAACUACUCCACAAUCUACCAUUUUCUUAUGUGCAAAAGUAAACGACUUGAAUCUCCACCCUAUUUUAUUUCUUGCCUAACUCAAUGCACAUUCAACCUCCAACAGAGUCAAAGAAUUCAACACCAUGAAACAAAGUUUGCAGAACCAAACUCAAGCAUAAUUUUAUAGAUACUGGACCAGGUCCUUACCCAGUUGCCCCACCUAUGUGUGAUCCAAUGCAACACGGUCAGUCUCAGCCAUACUCUUCAAUUAUACCUCCUCAAGGGGAAACCAAGUCUCAAAUUGUAACUCCUCCAAGGGAAACCAUGUCAAAAGGUGAUGGGUUUUGCAGAGGGCUUUGUGCAGGCUUGUGUUGCUACUGCUGCCUAGAUAUCUGCUUCUAGGGAUGGAGGAUCCUUGCAAAUGCCACUUUGCGCCAGCACUUCUAUUUCGUCUGACACAAGUUAUCUUCUGGGUUCCCAUAAGCAUGUAGUACAUUUCUCUGUAAACUACAGUUACCAUUUGCUUCCAGGUUCUGUGUAUGAAAAUUUCCACGUCCCAUGUUGUUAUGUAUAAUAUCCUAUUUAAUUUUCAAGUAAGAGAGAUGAACUAAUCUUAAAGAUCGA